CUUGGUCACAAGGCACAUUAUGUUAAUUGUAGCCUGCUUGAUGUAUAGACUCAUGCAAGGACAAUAAUUAGCACCUAAAAAUCAUUGGUAGUGGUACUUCCAUGUUAGAGUUGCUUAUGGUAGCUACACCUUUCGCAAAGCCAUUCAUCUGUUGAUUGUUCCAGAGGCGCCAGCUUGUUGGCAAUUCAUGUAUUGUUUGCUUUGACGCGUGUUUUAACCACUUUACAUUGGUCUCUUAAUAAUGGUAUUGUUUUGGCUUCUUGCGGAAACAAGUAAAUCUGCACCUGCAUGGUUCUUUUUAAAAUAUUUCCUAGGAUUCCCUUUUCGAGAUGACAUGCUUAGUGUUGUGGAGGUCCAUGUUAUCAUGUCGAACCAAAACAUGCACGCUUUGAACUUUUUGUAACAGCAACUUGUCUUGAUUUAUGAAUUGACAGAGUGUAAUUUCUGCAUGCAGGGAGUGGCUCUUUGACGUUGCUCCUCGAGGAUGAUGCACUUGAAACCCUCUUUGAUGCCCGAGUUUGGUGCCAUGGAGAUCGACGAUGAAGAUGUCAUUGCCCACAAAAGUGUCAAGGCAUUGAAGACAGAAGACAUGUCCCCUGAGAGCCGAGAUGUGGAAAGCAUUAGGUAAAGUGGCAAGAGGAGCCGGAUGUGCAGCUUGUGCUUUUCUUUGUUGGCUGGUGGUUGCUGCUGAAGUGCAGAUUGAUGAUGCCUGGUGAUAUUGAAGUCCUAGUAGAUAGAUAUGCCCUAUGAUAAUUGUUUUCUUGUUGGUGGCUUACUUGUCGGCUGGUAGGUAUUGAGUCGAUGAAGUACCUUGUCGAAUUCUCAGCUCUUGUUGAUGUUCUCUUUUCUCGAUGGAGAGAGAGAGUGAUAUAUGAAGUGUAAAUUUCUGCAUAUUUUUUUCCACGAGUCUCUCCGAAAUGAAACCGGGAAUUGUGUGCCAUGCCAAUC